rnacentral:rRNA from 1 species
UACGGGGGGGGCAAGCGUUGUUCGGAAUUACUGGGCGUAAAGGGCUCGUAGGUUGCCAACUAAGUCAGACGUGAAAUCCCUCGGCUUAACCGGGGAACUGCGUCUGAUACUGGAUGGCUUGAGUUCGGGAGAGGGAUGCGGAAUUCCAGGCGUAGCGGUGGAAUGCGUAGAGAUCCGGAAGAACACCGGUGGCGAAGGCGGCCUGCUGGGCAGUUGCUGACACUGAGGCGCGACAGCGUGGGGAGCAAACAGG